rnacentral:rRNA from 1 species
UGCGAGUCUUUGUAGUAAUACAAGGCAGACGGCUCAGUAACACGUAGUCAACCUACCCUAUGGACAAGAAUAAUCUCGGGAAACUGAGCAUAAUUCUUGAUAGAUCAUAAUGCCUGGAAUGGUUUAUGGUUAAAAUGAUUCGUCGCCAUAGGAUGGGACUGCGGCCUAUCAGCUUGUUGGUGAGGUAAUGGCCCACCAAGGCGAUUACAGGUACGGGCUCUGAGAGGAGAAGCCCGGAGAUGGGUACUGAGACACGGACCCAGGCCCUAUGGGGCGCAGCAGGCGAGAAAACUUUGCAAUGUGCGAAAGCACGACAAGGUUAAUCCGAGUGAUUUCUGCUAAAGAAAUCUUUUGCCAGUCCUAAAACCGCUGGUGAAUAAGGGGUGGGCAAGUUCUGGUGUCAGCCGCCGCGGUAAAACCAGCACCUCAAGUGGUCAGGAUGAUUAUUGGGCCUAAAGCAUCCGUAGCCUGCUUUGUAAGUUUUCGGUUAAAUCCAUGUGCUCAACGCAUGGGCUGCCGAAAAUACUGCAUAGCUAGGGAGUGGGAGAGGUAGACGGUACUCAGUAGGUAGGGGUAAAAUCCUUUGAUCUAUUGAUGACCACCUGUGGCGAAGGCGGUCUACCAGAACACGUUCGACGGUGAGGGAUGAAAGCUGGGGGAGCAAACCGGAUUAGAUACCCGGGUAGUCCCAGCUGUAAACGAUGCAGACUAGAUGAUGCAUUGGCAUAAUAGCCAUUGCAGUGUCUCAGGGAGGCCGUUAAGUCUGCCGCCUGGGAAGUACGUACGCAAGUAUGAAACUUAAAGGAAUUGGCGGGGGAGCACCACAAGGGGUGAAGCCUGCGGUUCAAUUGGAGUCAACGCCAGAAAUCUUACCCGGAGA